CUGUACCCUAUGGCCAAAGGUCAAAAGGCUAUUCUGCUCCAGCUGCUGUACCCAAUGGAAAUGGUCAAAAAUCAAAAGGUUAUGGUGCUCCUGCAGCUGUGCCUAAUGGAAAUGGUGCCAAGGCCAAUGGUUAUGGUGCCGGUGUGCCUAAUGGCAAUGGACAAGGAGCUAAACACAAUGGUAUAGUAAACUCUUAUAUUGGUGCCGCAAUCAAAGCUCAUAAUGAUGCCUUUGCCAAGUAUAUUUUCAUUGAGACUGAAAAUGAUUACUUGUUCCCAAACCGUCUGAACGAUUGUUUCGGGUUCCGUUACUUUUAAUAAUUUAUUUAUAGGUUACGGUGCUGCUCCAGCUGCUGUGCCCAACGGACAAGGAGCUAAGCACAAUGGUACGCCUAAAUUAAUUUUCUAAAGUGUGUUUAAAUAUCAAUAGAAUUUUAUAAUAUUGUUUAAAUAUCAAUUUAUAAGAAUAAGUUGUGUGGUGUCAUUUACCUGAAACCUCUAGGUCAAGG
rnacentral:lncRNA from 13 species